UCCUCUGUGGCGCAAUUGGCUAGCGCGUUCGGCUGUUAACCGGAAGGCUGGUGGUUCAAUCCCACCCAGGGGCG
rfam:Daphnia pulex DAPPTscaffold_5735_Cont16745, whole genome shotgun sequence.